rnacentral:rRNA from 1 species
UACAGAGGUCCCGAGCGUUGUUCGGAUUCACUGGGCGUAAAGGGUGCGUAGGUGGCGAGGUAAGUCGGAUGUGAAAGCUCGGAGCUCAACUCCGAAAUGGCAUUGGAAACUACCUUGCUCGAGGGUUGGAGGGGGGACUGGAAUACUUGGUGUAGCAGUGAAAUGCGUAGAUAUCAAGUGGAACACCAGUGGCGAAGGCGAGUCCCUGGACAACUCCUGACACUGAGGCACGAAAGCUAGGGGAGCGAAUGGG